rnacentral:hammerhead_ribozyme from 1 species
AUCCAGCUGACGAGUCCCAAAUAGGAUGAAACUCACGUCUUGGAU